UUGGAGUCUGCCUCCGAGCGCGUGUGUGUGUUUGUGUGUGUGUGUAUGUUGGAAGGAGAAAAGAGAUAAAGAGAGAGAGAGAAAGGGAGGGAGAGGCAAGCGGCGUUUAUUCUCCCCCCUUUAGCCUCCCCGUUUCCCUGCUCCCUGUCACUCCAUCCUUCCUCCCCUCUCCUGGACCACCCUCCAGCCCCGCUUUGAGCCGGACCGAGACCCCCUACCACCCAGACCACCCCGGGACCCUUUGACUCUCCUCACUUCUCCGUCCCACCAGCCACAACCUCUGAGCAGCUUGCUGGCAAGGCCAUGGCUGCUACCGCCGAGCCACACCUGACCAACAGAUUGGCCCCAGCUGGAGGCCGAGGCCUGAACAGACACUUUGGAGGCCAGUGAUUCAGCCG
ensembl:lncRNA